rnacentral:rRNA from 1 species
AUUGAACGCUGGCGGCAUGCUUUACACAUGCAAGUCGAACGGUAACAGGGUGCUUGCACCGCUGACGAGUGGCGAACGGGUGAGUAAUGCGUCGGAACGUGCCGAGUAGUGGGGGAUAACGCAUCGAAAGGUGUGCUAAUACCGCAUACGUACUGAGGUAGAAAGUGGGGGGCCUUCGGGCCUCACGCUACUCGAGCGGCCGACGUCUGAUUAGCUAGUUGGUGAGGUAAAGGCUCACCAAGGCGACGAUCAGUAGCGGGUCUGAGAGGAUGGUCCGCCACACUGGGACUGAGACACGGCCCAGACUCCUACGGGAGGCAGCAGUGGGGAAUUUUGGACAAUGGGCGCAAGCCUGAUCCAGCCAUGCCGCGUGUCUGAAGAAGGCCUUCGGGUUGUAAAGGACUUUUGUCCGGGAGCAAAUACCCAGUGCUAAUAACGCUGGGGGCUGAGAGUACCGGAAGAAUAAGCACCGGCUAACUACGUGCCAGCAGCCGCCGUAACAC